rnacentral:rRNA from 1 species
ACAAAUUCCCUCUUUUUGUUUUAUGGAAAUGAAUGAUUAAAAGUCAACUAAUUUGCAUACUACUUAAUUAGCACCAUAUUCCAUAAGGGAUUCGACCCCAACCUAUUUGGGUUAUAUAUUUGACAGUGACAGCUUAUGCUUUCGUAAAAGAUGUGUAAUUUGGGCGUAUCAAUGAGUUGGACCACAGAUCAACUUCGGGCAUGGACCAGUGUGUAUUGGGGAGACGGUCAGUGCUCGGGAUCUUCAUACAUUUGUGGAACAUCAUCUCCUUCAUUGUAGCAGGAAGCUCGUGCCCCUGGUGUGCUUUUACAUCUGCGUGCUCCAGACACUGUCCAGUGGGCUCCCCAUUUGACCCGUCUUGAAAUUUAGACCAAGAAGUCUGGCAUGUGUGCGAGUCAAAGAGAGAGUAAACCCCUAAUAUAUAAGGAAGCUGAUUGGUAGGAUCCCUCUGAGGGGUGCACCACCGACUGAACUUUAUCUUCUGAGUAGGGUACGAGUGUAAGCAUACAUGUCGGAACUCGAAAGAUGGUGUACUAUGCCUGAGCAGGGAAACGUCAGAGGAAACCCUAGAGGAGGCCUGCAGCGAUACUGACAUGAAAAUCAUUUGUCUAACUUUGGUAUAAGGGAGAAAGACCAAUUAAACCGUCUAGUAGCUGGUUCUCUAUGAAGUUUUCCACAGGAUAGCUAAAGCUCGCGUGUGAGUUCUAUCAAUUAAUGCUAGUGAUUAGAGGACUCAGGGGCGCAACUCCCUCGACCUAUUCUCAAACAUUAAAUACGUAGGACGGAGUGGCUACUUUAUUAAGCUGCACCACAGAAUCAAGACCUCUAAGUGGGUCAUUUUUGGUAAGCAUAAUUGGCAAUAUGGGAUGAACCAGAAUCCGUGUACAGUGCAAAACUAUAUGCGAACCUGGAUCCCACAAAGGGUGUUGGUCGAUUAAGACAGUAGGACGGUGGUCAUUGAAGUCAAAAUCUACUAAGGAGUGUGUAACAACUGACCUGCCGAAUCAACUAGCCCCCAAAAUGGAUGGAACUUAAGCACACGACCUACACUCGGCCAUCGGGGAAUAUUCCAGGCCCCGAUAAGUAGAAGGGUGCAACGGUCGCUACAAAACCUUAGGCGCAAGACCGAGUGGAGCGGCCAUCGGUGCGAUUCUUAGUGGUAGUAGAAAAUAUUCAAAUGAGAAAUUUGAAGGCCGAAGAGGGGAAAGGUUCCAUGUGAAUAGAAAUUUCACCUAGGUUAGUCAAUCCUAAGGGCUGGGGGAACCCCAACAGAUAACACAUUACGUGUGUAAUCAAAAAUGGAAUCAGAUUAAAAUUCCUAAAUCGGGAUGUGGCAGUCGACGACAACAUUAGGAAGUACAGAGAUGUCAGUGAGAGCCUUGCAAAUAUUUAUCUUUUCUAUUUAACAGCCUGGCUGCCCUGGAAUCGGCUCGGCUGAAGGUAGGCUCUAGUGGUAGGAAAAGCACUGCAUGUCGCGUGGUGUAUGGUGUGCUCCUGGAGGCCUUUGAAAAUCCAGAGGACCAAAUUUCCUCCACUCCCAGUUGUACUCAUAACCGCAUCAGAUCUCCAAGGUGAACAACCUCUGGUCAAUGGAAUAAUAUAGGCAAGGUAAUUCAGAAAAAUAGAUCCCUAACUUUGGGUAAAGGAUUAGCUCUUAGGGCUGGGCAAAGGGGUCCCAGUCUCAAACCCAUCAGCUGUUGGUGGAUUACUUGAUCAGAUCCCAUGGAGAGAGUUGAUUGCCGCAUAAUGGUCGGGGGAUGGACUGGCACCUAGUUCGGGCAUAGGGGGUCCUUCUUUUUAAUUAAAACAAAGCAUUGCCAUGGUCACAACGGAUGUUCACACAAUGCGAUUUCUGCACAGUGCUCUGAAUUUCAAAGCGAAAAAAUUCAACCAAGCGCGGGAAAAUGUCAUGAGUAACUAUGACUGUCUUAAGGUAGCCAAAUGCCUCAUCAUCUAAUUAGUGAUGCACAUAAGUUGAUUAAUGAGAUUGUACUUGUCUACUGUCAAGCAAAACUACAGCCAAGGGAACAAGCUUGGUAGAAUCAGUAGAGAAAGAAGACCCUGUUGAGCUGGACUGUAGUCAAACUUUGUGAAAUGACUUCAGAGGUGUAGUAUAAGUAUGAUCCAAAAGGCGAGAUUGAAAUACCAAUAAUUUUAACAUUAUUUUUAUGAUUUUGUGAAUUGAAAGUGGGGCACUACCCCUCUUUUCGGACCCAAAGCUCGCUCCGUGGGCAAAUCCAGGUGGAAGACAUUGUCAGGUAGGGAGUUUAGCUGGGGCAACAUAUCUGUUAAAAGAUUACGCGGGUUUCCUAAGAUGAGCUCAACGAGAAAAGAAAUCUUGUGUUGAAAAGAAGCGUAAAAGCUCAUUUCAUUAUGAUUUCUAGUAGUAAUACGAACCAUGAAAGCAUGGCCUAAUGAUCCAUUAGACCUUUGAAAUUCGGAGCUAGAGGUGUCAAAAAAGUUACCACAGGGAUAAAUAGCUUGAGGCAGCCAAGCUUUCAUAGCGACGUUGCUUUUUGAUCCUUUGAUAUUGGCUUUUCCUAUCAUUAUGAAAAACAAUUCAGCAAGUGUAGAUUUUUCACCCACCAAUAAGGAAUAUGAGCUGGGUUUAGACCAUCAUGAGACAGUUAGUUUUACCUUACUAAUGACAGUGCUACAAUAGUAAUUCAACCUAGUACGAGAGGAACCAUUGAUUCACACAAUUGGUCAUUGUGCUUAGUUGAAAAGCCAGUGGGGCGAAGCAACCAUGUGCUGGAUUAUGACUAAAUAGCUGUAAGUCAGAAUCAGUGAUAGAAGUAAUGCAUGCACCCGCUGUCGACUUACCGACCCGUAGUAGGGGCCUCGGCCCCCAAAGAAACAUAUCGUUGGCUAAGCCAUCACAAUGAAAGGAUUGCCAUGUCUGCCUUGAAGUACAAUUUUCAUUGAGCAAUAGGUAGAAUCCUUUGCAGACAACUUAAAUACAUCACGGUGUAUUGUAAAUGAAAGAGUGGCCUUACUGCCACAAUCCACUGAUAUUU